rnacentral:lncRNA from 10 species
AAGGAAGGGAAGGAAGGAAGAAAGAAAGAGAGAAAAGAAAGUUCUAUGAAGAGAAUGAAAACAAGUGAUAUAAUGAGUGGAGGAGAGUGGACAAGCUAUUUUAGCAGGAUUGGUCAAGGAAAUCCUCUCUGAAAGGUGACAAGUUGAGAGUUGAAUAAUGCAGAAGUUAUGUGGAUUAAGAAAAACAAAAACAAACAAAACCUCAAAACAAGAACUAAAAUAAUCAUUGAUGAGUAAAAGCAAUAAAAUUCAUCCUGAAGACACCUGGUGCAAGAAGGGACCUAUUCCAUCUGCAAGUGAAACUCACUCACUUCCUUUCUCCAGAAAGAAAACUGAAGCCUGGAGAGGUAAAGAGACUUACCUAAGGCCAGUUGGCAAAAGACUCUUAACCUCCUGACCUCCAACUCCACUCCCUACUGGAAGAAUUUAUUUGAAUCUCUCUUUUCCUUGGCUAAGAAGAAUGAAGAGGCAGGAGACUUGGGGGACCCCUUAACUGGGGAUAAUUACUGGGACAAAUCAGCCAGCACAAAGAGGAGGCACUAAACAAUCAGUCCUGGUCUCUGUUAUCAGAGACUUUUGAUGCUACCAUUGGAGUCAGACAAGCAGACAAACAUCAACAAAAUGAUUAUAAACUAUGACACACUAUGAUGGGAAAGAAGGAGGCUGACAGAGAGGACAUUGGCAGGAAGGAGCCCUACUGUAGAUGUGGUGGUCAGAGAAGGGCCUUUGUGAGAAGCUGACACAUAAUCUCACAGUUGAAGUUGUGAGAAGGAGCUGGUCCUCCAGAGAGAAGUAGGAAGAGCGCUCCAGCAGAAUCUCUGGACAAGUGCAGCUACGACUGCUGCUGGGACCGCGAUACUGUGAUGAGACUUUGCAUAUUUAAAAGGAUGUCGAGAGAGGAGGAGGAAUGAUAAAUGAACUCAGGAAGAUGUGAUGUCUUCUGUGAUGACACUAAUAGAUGGAAUGCAGAAUUCAGCUCCAAUACUUAGGGUUGGAAACCAAACAUAAACAAGCAAGCAAGGAAAAUGAAAAGGAAUGUGUGUGUGUGUGUGUGUGUGUGUGUGUGUGUGUGUGUGUAGGUGUGAGAGUAUAUGAAAUACAUGAAAAGAUAAAAAGUUAGAUGCUGCUAAAGGGACAGACAUGUAGGAAUUUUACAUUAGGGUUGUUCUGAUUUUCAUUUUCUUGCCUUUUAAAAUUUAAUGAUAAACAAGUCUCCAGAGAUUUUUACAGCCUGGGAGACCACUGGUAAGACAACAAUAUAGGUGGUCCUCCAGCAGGAUCUAAAUCAGAGCCUUCAUAGUGGACUGUCGGGCCAGGUGCAGCUGUAGACAAUGCAUCUUCAGGAGUGGGGUGAAGAAAUUUAAUGGACUAGUAAUGCAACAGGAGGUAGAAGAAAAGUGUUCUCUCACUAAAGCAUGGUGGGUGUUUUCAAAAUGUUUAAAAAACAUUUUUAGGCCGGGCACAGUGGCUCACACCUGUAAUCUCAGAGCUUGGGGUGGCUGAGGACCCAAAAGGAGGAUCCCUUGAUGCCAGGAGUUGUAGACCAGCCUGGUCUAACAUAGCAAUACCCUGUCUCUAAAAAAAAAAAAAAAAAAAAAAAUUAAUUAGCCAGGCAGGUGACAAGUGCCUGUAGUCCCAGUUACUCAGGAGGAUAAGGCAGGAGGAUCGCUUGAACCCAAGAAUUUGAGGUUGUGGUAAGCUGUGAUCGUGCCAUUGCACUCCAGCCUGGGUGACAGAGUAAGACCUCAAUUCUUUUUUUUUUUUUUUUUUUUUUUUUG